UACAGAGGUCUCAAGCGUUGGUUUCGGAUUCAUUGGGCGUAAAGGGGUGUGUAGGUGGCGCGCUAAGUCGGGUGUGAAAAUUUCGGGAGCACUUAACUCCGAAACUGCAUUCGAUACUGGCGUGCUUGAGGACUGGAGAGGAGACUGGAAAUUCAUGGUGUAGCAGUGAAAUGCGUAGAGAUCAUGAGGAAGACCAGUGGCGAAGGCGGGUCUCUGGACAGUUCCAUGACGCUGAGGCACGAAGGUCAGGGGAGCAAACGGG
rnacentral:rRNA from 1 species